UACGUAGGGGGCGAGCGUUGUCCGGAUUUACUGGGCGUAAAGAGCGCGCAGGCGGUCGUGCAAGUCGCGUGUGAAAGCCCCCGGCUCAACUGGGGAGGGUCACGCGAUACUGCUCGACUGGAAGGCAGGAGAGGGAAGUGGAAUUCCCGGUGUAGUGGUGAAAUGCGUAGAUAUCGGGAGGAACACCAGUGGCGAAGGCGACUGCCUGGCGUGUUUAUUGACGCUGAGGCGCGAAAGCUAGGGGAGCAAACGGG
rnacentral:rRNA from 1 species